UACGGAGGGUGCGAGCGUUGUCCGGAUUUAUUGGGUUUAAAGGGUGCGUAGGUGGGUCCUUAAGUCUGGUUUGAAAGCCGGCGGCUUAACCGUCGGAUGUGGCUGGAAACUGGGGGUCUUGAAUGGAUUGGCGGUAGCCGGAACGGGUCAUGUAGCGGUGAAAUGCAUAGAUAUGACCCAGAACCCCGAUUGCGAAGGCAGGCUACUACGAUUUGAUUGACACUGAGGCACGAGAGCAUGGGGAGCGAACAGG
rnacentral:rRNA from 1 species